rnacentral:rRNA from 1 species
AUUUUAUAUGAGAGUUUGAUCCUGGCUCAGGACGAACGCUGGCGGCGUGCCUAAUACAUGCAAGUCGAACGCACGAAGUUGAAGAGCUUGCUCUUUAACCAAGUGAGUGGCGGACGGGUGAGUAACACGUGGGUAACCUGCCCAUUAGAGGGGGAUAACAUUCGGAAACGGAUGCUAAUACCGCAUAGUUUCAGGAAUCGCAUGAUUCUUGAAGGAAAGGUGGCUUCGGCUACCACUAAUGGAUGGACCCGCGGCGUAUUAGCUAGUUGGUGAGGUAAUGGCUCACCAAGGCAAUGAUACGUAGCCGACCUGAGAGGGUGAUCGGCCACACUGGGACUGAGACACGGCCCAGACUCCUACGGGAGGCAGCAGUAGGGAAUCUUCCGCAAUGGACGAAAGUCUGACGGAGCAACGCCGCGUGAGUGAAGAAGGUUUUCGGAUCGUAAAACUCUGUUGUUAAAGAAGAACAAGGAUGAGAGUAACUGA